ACAAGUAAGUUUUUCUGCGUGGUUGGGUCGAUGCCGCUUAAUUCUCGGCAAUGUCGCUCUCCGACGAAAAAACACUUACUCCGCAAGACACGCGCCCUUUUCAUUUCCAAAUCCCCUCUCUUUUUCCCAUAUUUCUCUUCUUCUUCUUCCCUCUUCACACAAAUGACAGCUUCCCAGCUCCAAAACCCAGCUGCAACACACAGACAGAGUGGACACACCCCGCUUCCCACCCAUCAUCAGGCUGAAAUUGAACAAACAAUUAUAGAUAGAGGGAUUAUUUUUCUGUAAUAAUCGGCCGACUUCGGUAGUUUGGUGAUAGGAUCAUAGAGAAAUUCUGCAUCAGUAAGGGGAGGAAGAUGUACAGGGUUUAUGAAUUUGAUUGUGAUUUUCCAAGAAAGUUAUUUUAUUAAAAAAGAUAGUUUCUUAAUGACUGGAAAAGAAGUAUUGGGGUUGAGAGGCUUGCUGGUAUGAGGAGUGACUUGUAUGCCUGUUCUUAAUUUGCCAAUUUGAGGAUAGGGGGUAUAGCAGCUCAGGUAGCUGAGUCACCAUUUUUAUGCAGCUAAGCAGGUUCGAGCAUUUUUUUGAUACCAUGACCAAUGAGGUGCCUGGACUAUCAGGUCAAUGGAUCCAGAAAAAAGCAACCUUAGUUGUUCCAAACAUGGUUAAGAAUGUACACAAUCAUGUCUCUGUACAGACAGGGGAGGAAUUUUCCAUGGAGUUUCUUCAGGAUCAUUUUGCAGCGAGAAGAGGUCCUGCUGUGACUGAUAUGGUUGAGAAUUGUGAAAAUAAGGUUGGAUUCAAUUAUAAUCAGAAUUAUCAGCUGGGGUAUUAGGAUCUUACUGGUAUUCUGGGGUUAAGGAGGAUGGACUCUGAGGUGCAUCUGAUACUUCUGAUUUUGUAUCGGCGAAAGGGUUGUGUAAAUAGGUUGAAAACGAUGUUUGUGUUGACAAGUUAAGCAGAUGCAUCAGGAGGAAGUUGAUAGCGGACAUGUGAAGUUGAUGGUUCAAUUUGGCUGUACCAGACAAAAGACUUCUGGAGAGAGGCGCAGAUCCUUUCAAAUCUUCAUCAUCCAAAUGUGGUUGCAUUCUAUGGGGUAGUACCUGAUGGAGCUGGUGGUACGUUGGCAACUGUAACUGAAUUCAUGGUCAGUGGGUCACUUAGGCAUGCGCUACUUAAGACAGAUAGAUCGCUUGACCGUCAUAGAAAGCUUAUAAUUGCAAUGGAUGCAGCUUUCGGCAUGGAAUACUUGCAUUCAAAGAAUAUUUCUUGAUUUGAAGUGCAACAAUCUGCUAGUCAACUUGAGGGAUCCUCAACGACCUAUAUGUAAGGUCUUAGCCUCAUUGGAGAUCUGUGGGCCUGAUAAGUAGUCGUUAUAUAUUUAAUCAAGUUCUGUACUGCUGUCGAUUUGCUGCAUUAUUUAUCUCACAUUUUGGAGCAUUUGUGAUUUCUAUUAGAGUGGUUGCAUUGUGAUUUCUAUUUAAGUCAAGUAAAGAUUCAGUAUUUCUCUGUUGGUAACGCUAUAGAGAUCAGAAGCUCCAGUAGGGAAUUUAUUUAGAGCUGUGCGUCUUGGUAAGUGUAUAUGUGGUUCAGUGAUUCUUUAUAGGAGCUGACUGUUCUUCUUUUUUUGUUGGUAUUAGGCUGACGUUGUACAUUCUCUUAGAAACUUAAAACUUGGUUGGGAUUUUCUUGUAUAUAUUCCUAGCUAUCUAGAUUUUGAGUAGUUUCUUUUAUCAUGCUCAUUUUCUGGUAAUUACCAUGAGUUGUGCCGAUAGCCAGGAGAGUUCACCAAACCACUCGACCCUCUGACAUUGAUCCAUCUAGAGAACGAGAAAAACUCUCAUGCAACGGGGAUAGCACUUUUUGCUAUCCCCGGCUAAUAACGUAAUGACAUGUAGGAUAACUUUUUCACAUGUCAUUGUGUUAUUGGUCGGGGAUAGCAAAAUAGUGCUAUCCCCGUUUCAUGUAAGUUUUUUUCCUAGAGAACGAGCCUGGCAACACCCUGAGCACCAACGAGAAUUUGGUGAUGUUGUCAGUGCUGUUCAUUCAGCCACAAAUUGGACUAAGGGGGACUGAAACCUCAGACAAAAAUUGGACUUAUACCAUUCAUUAUUAUGGUGUUCACUUGGAGGAUAUGGUGUUUGACAAUGAUGCUUAUGAAUGAGAUGUCAUAAGGUUGAAUAUAAAAUAUAUGAAAGUCCAUUUUGAAGAAUUACUGCAACUUACUAACGAAUAUAUAUAUAUAUAUAUAUAUACAUGAUUUUUAUAACUAACGAUGACCAAAGUUCCAGGGCAUGGAUCCAAACUUUUUACCUUCCUGCUCAUAAAAAUAAAAUAAGAGAAAUCAUUAUUUUUCUGAAAACACGAGCUGAAUCCUUAAUUAGCUUGUUAGUUUUGCUUCAUUGAUGCAUUUUUGCAUUUGAGUUUUCAUAAACCUAUGCAACAAGGCUCUUCUCAUCAAUGGAACAACGCCGUGAAAGUAGAGGAUUGAAAUAAUGACCGGUGAUUUAGCAUUUAAUGCAUCCAGCUAAUCUCAACCGUUCAGUUGUAACAAUAAGCUCUUUUAUUCCAACAUUAGGGGUUUUUCUGCACCGCCGAAGCCAUUCUUCUUCACGCUUUUCAGUCGCUCGAAGUAGAAGAACGCUCUGAGUCUCUGAUUCUCUGGUUCUCCUCGAGUUGCUUUGCCAUGGAUCAUCCCGAAACCUUCUUUUAUAGCUCCCUUCUUCCACAGCCGAACCAAGCCCUCAAGCAACAGCUAAUUGUAUAUGCAACUAGGGAAAUAUUGGAGGGCCGCAUCCCAUACCCAGAACAACUUAGGCCCAGGAUCUUAAGUGAUGUCAUACAAUUGCUUGAUCAGUAUCCUUCAUUAGGCCUGACCAGGCGUAGGUUUCAGCCCGAGGAGCCUGCAGUUUUGGUAGUCAGAGGCACCAUUCCUAUAUUUUACACAAACAGAGUCUAUAAAAUUCCAGUUGAGAUAUGGGUGCCGCACAGCUAUCCAACAUCUCCGCCGAGGGCGUGCGUGACUCUGGAUGACCAAAACGCAACAGCAAUCAAGUUACGUCAUCCAUAUGUCGAUGCUAGAAGGGGAGGCCUCAUAAAUGUACCACAUAUGCUGGAUUGGCACUCAGAAAGAACUCUUGUGGUUCUAGUAACCACCAUGUGUGAGUGUUUUAGUCGAGACCCACCCCUACGGGCAGGGCCAGGGCCACCACCACUGCCACCAUCGCCGCCGCAGCCGCAGCCGCAGCCACCUCAUGUGCAAGAAAGGCAGAGGCAAGAGCUAGAGGAAGAGAGGCAUAGGCAAGAGCAAGUGAUGCAGAGGCAGGAGGGAGGAAGACAACAACAAGCGCAAGAGAGGCGGUCAUCGAGCUUGUGGUAUUCUCUGAUGAGGCGUUUAGCAUUUUUGUGCAUAGUUUGUAUGUUAUUCAGCAUUACGACUUGUUCAUGGUCUACUUUUACACUUGCAGUUCUAGUCUUAGGUUUUGCUUUGUUGUGGUGAUUUCUUAUGUAAUGAUACUCGAUAUGUCAACAAAAAUCACUUGAUUGAAUGCUAAUUAGUUUUUCUGCAAUUUGGCACUUGUGUGCUGCAUUUCUGAGAAUUGUGACUUGCAGAAAUGCAGUUUAAUUGUGACAUGAGAAUUGUGA